CAGGCCUAACACAUGCAAGUCGAGCGAGGUCUUCGGACCUAGCGGCGGACGGGUGAGUAACGCGUGGGAACGUGCCCUUCCCUGCCGGAUAGUCCCUGGAAACGGGGUUUAAUACGGCAUACGCCCUUCGGGGGAAAGAAUUUCGGGGAAGGAUCGGCCCGCGUCUGAUUAGGUAGUUGGUGGGGUAAUGGCCUACCAAGCCGACGAUCAGUAGCUGGUUUUAGAGGAUGAUCAGCCGCACUGGGACUGAGACACGGCCCAGACUCCUACGGGAGGCAGCAGUGGGGAAUCUUAGACAAUGGGCGCAAGCCUGAUCUAGCCAUGCCGCGUGUGUGAUGAAGGCCUUAGGGUCGUAAAGCACUUUCGCCAGGGAUGAUAAUGACAGUACCUGGUAAAGAAACCCCGGCUAACUCCGUGCCAGCAGCCGCGGUAAUACGGAGGGGGUUAGCGUUGUUCGGAAUUACUGGGCGUAAAGCGCGCGUAGGCGGACUGGAAAGUUGGGGGUGAAAUCCCGGGGCUCAACCUCGGAACUGCCUUCAAAACUAUCAGUCUAGAGUUCGAGAGAGGUGAGUGGAACUCCGAGUGUAGAGGUGAAAUUCGUAGAUAUUCGGAAGAACACCAGUGGCGAAGGCGGCUCACUGGCUCGAUA
rnacentral:rRNA from 1 species